UACAGAGGGUGCAAGCGUUGUUCGGAAUUAUUGGGCGUAAAGCGCGUGUUAGGCGGCUUUGUAAGUCGGGUGUGAAAGCCCUCAGCUCAACGUGAGGAAGUGCGCCCGAAACUACAUGGCUCGAGUACCGGAGAGGAUGGUGGAAUUCCGGAGUGUAGAGGUGAAAUUCGUAGAUAUUCGGAAGAACACCAGUGGCGAAGGCGACUCACUGGACACGUAUUGACGCUGAGGUGCGAAAGCGUGGGGAGCA
rnacentral:rRNA from 1 species